rnacentral:rRNA from 1 species
CGGGUUGUAAAGCACUUUCAGUAGGGAGGAAGGUAGUGUAGUUAAUACCUGCAUUAUUUGACGUUACCUACAGAAGAAGCACCGGCUAACUCCGUGCCAGCAGCCGCGGUAAUACGGAGGGUGCGAGCGUUAAUCGGAAUUACUGGGCGUAAAGACGCAUGCAGGCGGCCUGUUAAGUCAGAUGUGAAAGACCCGGGGCGUUAACCUCGGAAUUGCAUUUGUAAACUAGGCAGGCUAGAGUCUUGUAGAGGGGGGUAGGAAGUUUCUAGGUGUAGCGGUGAAAUAGCGUAGAGAUCUGAAGGAAUACCAGUGGCGAAGGCGGCCCCCUCGGACAAAGACUGACGCUCAGAUGCGAAAGCGUGGGGAGCAAACAGGAUUAGAUACCCUGGUAG